UACGUAGGGCGCGAGCGUUGUCCGGAAUUAUUGGGCGUAAAGAGCUCGUAGGCGGCCUGUCGCGUCCGCUGUGAAAACCCGGGGCUCAACCCCGGGCUUGCAGUGGAUACGGGCAGGCUAGAGGCAGGCAGGGGAGAACGGAAUUCCCGGUGUAGCGGUGAAAUGCGCAGAUAUCGGGAGGAACACCGGUGGCGACGGCGGUUCUCUGGGCCUGUACUGACGCUGAGGAGCGAAAGCGUGGGGAGCGAACAGG
rnacentral:rRNA from 1 species